CCCCUCCCUCCUUCCCGUGGAACUAAGCCGGAGACGUGCGGCUGGGCUCGCAGGAAUCCCUUUAGAUGUCUUUUUUAUCCAUGAGACUUAACACUUUAAUUCGUUGUCUAUCAUCGCUUUGCCUGUCUUUAGAGCCCUCCCUGUUCAAGUGUCCUCCUCCAGAAACCUCCCUCCCCAAGAAGCAGGUACAAGACUCUUGGUCACUGGCCUCAACCCUCUAGACAUCAGGAGUGGCAAAGCCUCACAGAACACAGCAUCCCCGGAUGACGAACAGCUCUUUCUAUCAUGGCCUGUGCACCCUGGAGGAGAAAGAAUCAACUCCUGAGAACCAGCUUGUCCCUUAAGUAAAAAGGACUUCUACCAUCUCAUAGAACCAACACUGAGAGGAUGAUAACCAGACCACACUUGCCCAGGUCACAGAAAGAAUUUUGAAAGCGCCUCGAGGAUGGGAAGACAAGCCAUCAUGGAGGAUAGACUGUGAACUGGCUGAACUCUUCUGCCUUAGGGGAUCUUCCAAACAGUCGUGAGCUUUAGGAGUGCCAGAAAGUGAUGUUGGUCACUUACCUGGAAGGCAGGGCACAUUUGAAAGCAAGCAUCAGGCCAGUUACUCAAUCCUAGCUCCUUAAAUCUGCAGGAAAAGGUUGUCAUCAUGAUAGGAAUGAGACCAAGUUCUACUUUUGUAUCAAUGUAUUUUUAUAAUAAAGCUUAUUGUAAA
rnacentral:lncRNA from 1 species